CCAAGGAGUCUAACAUGUGCGCGAGUCGUAGGGUGCGUAAGCAAAACCCGAAGGCUUAAUGAGAGUAGAGGUCGGCAAUUUGUUCGUCGACCGAGGCGGGAUCCGUCUUUGUUUUUUCUUCUUUUUAUUAAUUCAUUUUUUUAAAAAGAGAAAAAUUACCCUCCUUUUUAUUUAAAAUUUUCUUUUUUCUCCUCUUUCGAAAGGGAGAGGGAAAGAGAGGUUUGGAGGGAGGGGAAAGAACGGCGCACCGCCGGCCCGUCUCGACCGCAACGCCGGUGAGGCGGCGCAAUAGCGCACACGUUGGGACCCGAAAGAUGGUGAACUAUGCCUAGGCAGGACGAAGCCAGAGGAAACUCUGGUGGAGGUCCGUAGCGUUUCUGACGUGCAAAUCGAUCGUCGGACCUGGGUAUAGGGGCGAAAGACUAAUCGAACCAUCUA
rnacentral:rRNA from 1 species